GUCUGUGACCAUACCAAUCUGAACAUGCCCUUUCUCAGCUGAUCUCAGAAGCUAAGCGGGGUUAGCCUGAUUUGUACUUGGAUGGGAGAGCUACAGACA
rnacentral:rRNA from 1 species